rnacentral:snoRNA from 14 species
AUGCAAUGAUGAGUGAAGUACAGUCUGACCUGGUAUUGCCAUUGCUUUGCUAUGGCUCUGACCAGGGUGUGACCCCUUAAUCUUCUCUCUGAGCUG